UUACCGUCACAACGGCUUCCUGGCGUGAUGGCUCGGUAUUAAUGGAGCG
rfam:Citreicella sp. SE45 genomic scaffold scf_1113211290437, whole genome shotgun sequence.